AGUGAACGCUGGCGGUAGGCCUAACACAUGCAAGUCGAACGGCAGCACAGUAAGAGCUUGCUCUUACGGGUGGCGAGUGGCGGACGGGUGAGGAAUACAUCGGAAUCUACUUUUUCGUGGGGGAUAACGUAGGGAAACUUACGCUAAUACCGCAUACGACCUACGGGUGAAAGCAGGGGAUCUUCGGACCUUGCGCGAUUGAAUGAGCCGAUGUCGGAUUAGCUAGUUGGCGGGGUAAAGGCCCACCAAGGCGACGAUCCGUAGCUGGUCUGAGAGGAUGAAUAGGCAACAUGGAACCGAGACACGGGGCCAGAGCCCAAGGGAGGGCGGAAGGGGGGAGUAUGGAACAUUGGACGAAGGCCGGACCCGGCAUUCCGGGGGGGGGAAAGAGGGCUUUCGGGUUGUAAGGCCUUUUGGUGGGGAAAGAAAGGCAGAGGGUAAAUACCCGGUGUUGUGAAGGUACCCAAAGAAUAAGCACCGGCUAACUUCGUG
rnacentral:rRNA from 1 species